rnacentral:rRNA from 1 species
AACGAACGCUGGCGGCAGGCUUAACACAUGCAAGUCGAACGCAUCGCAAGAUGAGUGGCAGACGGGUGAGUAACGCGUGGGAACAUACCCUUUUCCACGGAAUAGCUCUGGGAAACUGGAAUUAAUACCGUAUACGCCCUACGGGGGAAAGAUUUAUCGGGGAAGGAUUGGCCCGCGUUGGAUUAGCUAGUUGGUGGGGUAAAGGCCUACCAAGGCGACGAUUCAUAGCUGGUCUGAGAGGAUGAUCAGCCACAUUGGGACUGAGACACGGCCCAAACUCCUACGGGAGGCAGCAGUGGGGAAUAUUGGACAAUGGGCGCAAGCCUGAUCCAGCCAUGCCGCGUGAGUGAUGAAGGCCUUAGGGUUGUAAAGCUCUUUCACCGAUGAAGAUAAUGACGGUAGUCGGAGAAGAAGCCCCGGCUAACUUCGUGCCAGCCGCCGCUGUAA